UACGUAGGGUGCGAGCGUUAAUCGGAAUUACUGGGCGUAAAGCGUGCGCAGGCGGUUAUGUAAGACAGAGGUGAAAUCCCCGGGCUCAACCUGGGAACUGCCUUUGUGACUGCAUAGCUGGAGUACGGCAGAGGGGGAUGGAAUUCCGCGUGUAGCAGUGAAAUGCGUAGAUAUGCGGAGGAACACCGAUGGCGAAGGUAAUCCCCGGGGCCUGUACUGACGUUCAUGCACGAAAGCGUGGGGAGCAAACAGG
rnacentral:rRNA from 1 species